CCAGCAAUUGCGGUUAUACAGGUGGUAUGAGUUAAUUUUUUCGGUUGCCAGUUAAUUUUCUAUUAAAAAUUUUAAAUUUAAGGUUAUAAGGUGGAAUUUGUAAUUUUGAUUAAAAAUUGAUUUUUGUUAUUAAGGCUGGGAUAUUCAGUUUAUAAACUAGGAUUAGAUACCCUAUUAUUCUGAAUGUAAAUGUUUGUUUGCUUGAUUAGUAGUAGUUAUGUUCUUGAAAAUUAAAGAUUUUGGCGGUACUUUAGUCCAUUCAGAGGAACCUGUCCCAUAAUUGAUGGUCCACGAUUUGCUGUACUUUUCUUAUUAGUUUAUAUAUCGUCGUAGUUUGAAUAUUUUGGUAGAAUUUAAAUGUUCAUAAUUUUUAUUUUGGAAUGGAAAUCAGAUCAAGGUGUAGCUUAUAGAAAAGGGGAGAUGGGUUACAAUAAAUUUAUUUAAAAGGAUUUAUUUUUUAAAUUUAAUAAUGAAUUUGGAUUUGAAGGUAAUUUUAAUUAAAUAAUUAAGAUGAUUUUGGCUCUGGGGUAUGCACAUAUUGCCCGUCGCUUU
rnacentral:rRNA from 1 species